UACGAAGGGGGCUAGCGUUGCUCGGAAUCACUGGGCGUAAAGGGCGCGUAGGCGGCGUUUUUAAGUCGGGGGUGAAAGCCUGUGGCUCAACCACAGAAUGGCCUCGAUACUGGGACGCUUGAGUAUGGUAGAGGUGAGUGGAACUGCGAGUGUAGAGGUGAAAAUUCGUAGAUAUUCGCAAGAACACCAGUGGCGAAGGCGGCUCACUGGCCCGAUACUGACGCUGAGGCACGAAAAGCGUGGGGGAGCAAACAGG
rnacentral:rRNA from 1 species